UACCUCUCAGGGUCGCACCUGGAGAGUUUCCAGUACUCUAGCAGUCUCAACUACGGGAGGGAGAGUCAAGCAGAGGCCUAUCCAUUCCAUUCCUAGCUUGGCCAGUAACUAGCGAGUGGAAGGCACUCUGCUACAAGU